rnacentral:rRNA from 1 species
CUGGCUCAGGAUGAACGCUAGCGGGAGGCCUAAUACAUGCAAGUCGAACGGUAACAGGGUAGCAAUACCGCUGACGAGUGGCGCACGGGUGAGUAACACGUACACAAUCUGCCUUAUACUGGGGCAUAUCCUCGGGAAACUGAGAGUAAUUCCCCAUAAGAUAUAGAAGAGGCAUCUCUUUUAUAUUAAAACUCCGGUGGUAUAAGAUGAGUGUGCGUCUGAUUAGCUAGUUGGUGGGGUAACGGCUCACCAAGGCAACGAUCAGUAACUGGUCUGAGAGGAUGAUCAGUCACACGGGCACUGAGACACGGGCCCGACUCCUACGGGAGGCAGCAGUAGGGAAUAUUGGACAAUGGGCGCAAGCCUGAUCCAGCCAUCCCGCGUGAAGGAUUAAGGCCCUCUGGGUUGUAAACUUCUUUUCUCUGGGAAUAAAAACCGGUAUUUAUAUCGGCUUGAAGGUACCAGAGGAAUAAGCACCGGCUAACUCCGUGCCAGCAGCCGCGGUAAUACGGAGGGUGCAAGCGUUAUCCGGAUUCACUGGGUUUAAAGGGUGCGUAGGUGGCUUUGUAAGUCAGUGGUGAAAUCUUAGAGCUUAACUCUAAAACUGCCAUUGAUACUGCUUAGCUUGAAUCAGGUCGAGGUGGAUGGAAUAUUACAUGUAGCGGUGAAAUGCUUAGAUAUGUAAUAGAACACCGAUUGCGAAGGCAGUUCACUAGGCCUGUAUUGACACUGAGGCACGAAAGCGUGGGGAUCAAACCGGAUUAGAUACCCUGGUAGUCCACGCCCUAAACGAUGUAUAC